rnacentral:rRNA from 1 species
ACACGAACCGGACGAACGUUAUUCGGAAUCACUGGGCUUAAAGAGUGCGUAGGCGGCUUGGAAAGUUGGGUGUGAAAUCCCUCGGCUCAACCGAGGAAUUGCGCCCAAAACUGCCAGGCUUGAGGGAGACAGAGGUGAGCGGAACUGAUGGUGGAGCGGUGAAAUGCGUUGAUAUCAUCAGGAACACCGGUGGCGAAGGCGGCUCACUGGGUCUCUUCUGACGCUGAGGCACGAAAGCUAGGGGAGCGAACGGUAUUAGAAACCCCGGUAGUCC